ACAGAGGGGGCAAGCGUUGUUCGGAAUUACUGGGCGUAAAGGGCGCGUAGGCGGCCUGCUAAGUCGAACGUGAAAUCCCCGGGCUCAACCCGGGAACUGCGUCCGAGACUGGCGGGCUCGAAUUCGGGAGAGGGAUGCGGAAUUCCAGGUGUAGCGGUGAAAUGCGUAGAUAUCCGGAGGAACACCGGUGGCGAAGGCGGCUUCCUGGGCCGACACUGACGCUGAGGCGCGAAAGCGUGGGGAGCAAACAGGA
rnacentral:rRNA from 1 species